AGUCAACAUGCCCAGGGGACGUGGAUAACCUCGGGAAACUGAGGAUAAACCGCGAUAGGUCAUCACUUCUGGAAUGGGUAAUGACUUAAACCUAUAUGGCCCCUGGAUUGGACUGCGGCCGAUCAGGCUGUUGGUGAGGUAAUGGCCCACCAAACCUGUAACCGGUACGGGCUCUGAGAGGAGGAGCCCGGAGAUGGGCACUGAGACAAGGGCCCAGGCCCUAUGGGGCGCAGCAGGCGCGAAACCUCUGCAAUAGGCGAAAGCUUGACAGGGUUACUCUGAGUGAUUUCCGUUAAGGAGAUCUUUUGGCACCUCUAAAAAUGGUGCAGAAUAAGGGGUGGGCAAGUCUGGUGUCAGCCGCCGCGGUAAUACCAGCACCCCGAGUGGUCGGGACGUUUUAUUUGGGCCUAAAGCAUCCGUAGCCGGUUCUACAAGUCUUCCGUUAAAUCCACCUGCUUAACAGAUGGGCUGCGGAAGAUACUAUAGAGCUAGGAGGCGGGAGAGGCAAGCGGUACUCGAUGGGUAGGGGUAAAAUCCGUUGAUCCAUUGAAGACCACCAGUGGCGAAGGCGGCUUGCCAGAACGCGCUCGACGGUGAGGGAUGAAAGCUGGGGGAGCAAACCGGAUUAGAUACCCGGGUAGUCCCAGCUGUAAACGAUGCAGACUCGGUGAUGAAUUGGCUUAUUGCUAAUUCAGUGCCGCAGGGAAGCCGUUAAGUUUGCCGCCUGGGGAGUACGGUCGCAAGACUGAAACU
rnacentral:rRNA from 1 species